rnacentral:rRNA from 1 species
UUUGUAGGAAAGUAAAGUCGUAACAAGGUCUCCGUAGGUGAACCUGCGGAGGGAUCAUUACACAAAUAUGAAGGCGGGCUGGAAUCUCUCGGGGUUACAGCCUUGCUGAAUUAUUCACCCUUGUCUUUUGCGUACUUCUUGUUUCCUUGGUGGGUUCGCCCACCACUAGGACAAACAUAAACCUUUUGUAAUUGCAAUCAGCGUCAGUAACAAAUUAAUAAUUACAACUUUCAACAACGGAUCUCUUGGUUCUGGCAUCGAUGAAGAACGCAGCGAAAUGCGAUAAGUAGUGUGAAUUGCAGAAUUCAGUGAAUCAUCGAAUCUUUGAACGCACAUUGCGCCCUUUGGUAUUCCAAAGGGCAUGCCUGUUCGAGCGUCAUUUGUACCCUCAAGCUUUGCUUGGUGUUGGGCGUCUUGUCUCUAGCUUUGCUGGAGACUCGCCUUAAAGUAAUUGGCAGCCGGCCUACUGGUUUCGGAGCGCAGCACAAGUCGCACUCUCUAUCAGCAAAGGUCUAGCAUCCAUUAAGCCUUUUUUCAACUUUGACCUCGGAUUCAGGUAGGGGUACCCCCGCUGUUA